rnacentral:rRNA from 1 species
UUGAACGCUGGCGGCAUGCCUUACACAUGCAAGUCGAACGGCAGCACGGGAGCAAUCCUGGUGGCGAGUGGCGAACGGGUGAGUAAUAUAUCGGAACGUACCCCGUCGUGGGGGAUAACACAGCGAAAGUUGUGCUAAUACCGCAUACGACCUGAGGGUGAAAGCGGGGGACCGUAAGGCCUCGCGCGAUGGGAGCGGCCGAUAUCGGAUUAGCUAGUUGGUGAGGUAAAGGCUCACCAAGGCGACGAUCCGUAGCUGGUCUGAGAGGACGACCAGCCACACUGGAACUGAGACACGGUCCAGACUCCUACGGGAGGCAGCAGUGGGGAAUUUUGGACAAUGGGGGCAACCCUGAUCCAGCCAUUCCGCGUGAGUGAAGAAGGCCUUCGGGUUGUAAAGCUCUUUCGGCAGGAACGAAACGGUGGUCCUUAAUACGGGCUACUAAUGACGGUACCUGAAGAAGAAGCACCGGCUAACUACGU